rnacentral:rRNA from 1 species
AACGAACGCUGGCGGCAGGCUUAACACAUGCAAGUCGAACGAACAUAGCAAUAUGUUAGUGGCAGACGGGUGAGUAACGCGUGGGAAUGUGCCCUUUAGUUCGGAAUAACUCAGGGAAACUUGAGCUAAUACCGGAUAAUCCCGAGAGGGGAAAGAUUUAUCGCUGAAGGAGCAGCCCGCGUCUGAUUAGCUAGUUGGUGAAGUAAUGGCUCACCAAGGCGACGAUCAGUAGCUGGUCUGAGAGGAUGAUCAGCCACACUGGGACUGAGACACGGCCCAGACUCCUACGGGAGGCAGCAGUGGGGAAUAUUGGACAAUGGGGGCAACCCUGAUCCGGCCAUGCCGCGUGAGUGAUGAAGGCCUUAGGGUUGUAAAACUCUUUUAUCCGGGAAGAUAAUGACUGUACCGGAAGAAUAAGCCCCGGCUAACUUCGUGCCAGCCGCCGCCGUAA